rnacentral:tRNA from 1 species
CGGGGCGUGGCGCAGCCUGGUAGCGCGCCUGCUUUGGGAGCAGGAUGUCGGAGGUUCAAAUCCUCUCGCCCCGA